rnacentral:rRNA from 1 species
UACGUAGGGGGCAAGCGUUGUCCGGAUUUAUUGGGCGUAAAGAGCGUGUAGGCGGUCAGGUAGGUCCGUUGUGAAAACUCGAGGCUCAACCUCGAGACGCCGAUGGAAACCAUCUGACUAGAGUCCGGAAGAGGAGAGUGGAAUUCCUGGUGUAGCGGUGAAAUGCGCAGAUAUCGGGAGGAACACCUGCGGCGAAAGCGGCUCACUGGACCACAACUGACGCUGAGGCGCGAAAGCUAGGGGAGCAAACAGG